rnacentral:misc_RNA from 1 species
GAACGCACAUUGCGCCCUUUGGUAUUCCAAAGGGCAUGCCUGUUCGAGCGUCAUUUGUACCCUCAAGCUUUGCUUGGUGUUGGGCGUUUUUGUCUCGGGUCCGCCCCGAGACUCGCCUUAAAAUCAUUGGCAGCCGGCCUACUGGUUUCGGAGCGCAGCACAUUUUUGCGCUUUGUCCAGUCGUGGUCUUGCGUCCAUGAAGCGAAUAUUUUCAACGUUUGACCUCGGAUCAGGUAGGGAUACCCGCUGAACUUAAG